UCUCUAAAAUGAAAUGACAAUGUUUGACGAUGAGUUUUUAUUUUUGGUAAAGUAGAAAUCUUCGACCUCAACAAAGAGACUCCGGCAAAUCCGACGAAGCUCCGGCGAGUCCUGGUUCCUGAAGGAUUUUGGUCAGCCACUUGCUUAACCGAUCUCAGUCUCCUUAAUCGAUAAGUUCAUUACAGCAAUAUAUAUAUAGCAGUACGCCUACAGUAGUACUUUAGACUUUAGUAUUAACCAAUUUAAAGUAAAAACUCUUACUACUUAGACAUUGACUUUGUUUUUGCCUUAACUAACGAAACCCAAUAAUAAUUGGGUCUUGACUUGCUUCUGGCCCAUCUGGCCUCUUCCUUUCUUCGUUGACAAAGUGUGGGUUGUUCUUCUCUUCGUGUUCCUCCUCUUCGCUUCUUCUUCUUUCAAUGAUUGAUCAAAGAUUGAUUAUUCUUACUAACUCUCUUGCUUGAUUCUCUUGCACAAGAUUGAUCAAAGAUGAUAAUCCAACAGUUCCUACUCCGAGCCUUUACCGGCACCUCUUAUGCGGACUGGAUCUGGUGCUUCUCAAGAUAAGUCUCAGGCUCCCACCAUUGUCGCCACCACUCAAAGGAAGUGCAGCCAUUUCCGUUUGAAACCGUAAACAAAGUGAAGAAAGUAUGAAGGUACUAUGAUCCAGCCUUCAUGAAUAGCAUGUAUUUAUAGCAUUUAAUGAUUAAGUAGGUAAUUAAAUCUUUACCAUAUAUAUAUUUUGAUUUGAAUCAGUUAAGGAUAAAAUUUUCGUAGAAUUCCUAAUUGUUUGCAAUGAAUUGAGGAACAAUACAUUUUGUAUGAUAUUAAGAAUAUUUUCAAAUGACUGUUAUCUUUUCA